rnacentral:misc_RNA from 1 species
UAACACACAGGCCUGUAACAGUGGGCCUCUAUGAAAAAGAUAACCGCUAGUCCAGUACUUUACCUCCGUAGGGGAAGCCCCCAACUAUCGGGCGGAGGAGGCACUUCGGUGCCGUGUGCGGGCGACACCACCUGGUACAGGGAACGCCUACGGGUCGAUCCUGUGGCGAGUCUGGGUAGCUCCAGGCCGUCGCAACGCGCGCUAAGGGGUGGGCUGGUCUCCCUUCGGGGGCCAGCUUAAGGUACGUGCUAAUCCCACGGGUAACCGUGCUCCCUCACAGAGGCCCGAUAGGCCAAAGUGUUGGAGGGCGCCCUCAUGAGUUUCACCGCUCAUGGGCGCGCUGGUUCUUUGUUACGGCAUUCAGAAUUACAUUCACUGUAUGCUGGUUGAUAUAACAAAGAUUAAUUG